rnacentral:rRNA from 1 species
AGUGAACGCUGGCGGUAGGCCUAACACAUGCAAGUCGAACGGCAGCACAGUAAGAGCUUGCUCUUACGGGUGGCGAGUGGCGGACGGGUGAGGAAUACAUCGGAAUCUACUUUUUCGUGGGGGAUAACGUAGGGAAACUUACGCUAAUACCGCAUACGACCUACGGGUGAAAGCAGGGGAUCUUCGGACCUUGCGCGAUUGAAUGAGACGAUGUCGGAUUAGCUAGUUGGCGGGGUAAAGGCCCACCAGGGCGACGAUCCGUAGCUGGUCUGAGAGGAUGGUCGGCCACACGGAAACUAGGACACGGUCCAGACUCCUACGGGAGGCAGCAGUGGGGAAUAUUGGACAAUGGGCGCAAGCCUGAUCCAGCCAUACCGCGUGGGUGAAGAAGGCCUUCGGGUUGUAAAGCCCUUUUGUUGGGAAAGAAAAGCAGCAGGUUAAUACCCCGCUGUUCUGACGGUACCCAAAGAAUAAGCACCGGCUAACUUCGU